UUUGGCCAGCAGCUAGCACUCUGCAAGUCUCACACGGUCAUCCAUUAAGCAGGGCUGCGCCCGGUUAUUACCUGGAUGAGAGACCACAAGGGAAAGUUAGGUUGCUGCCAGAA
rnacentral:rRNA from 1 species